UUAUGGAGAAAACACUCAGGGAGGCCGCUCAACUUUUAUAGAAGAUUAGCUGAGGAGCAGCCGUUAAUAGAGAAUGGGAUAAUUAUCAACCUGGAGCACAGGAGUGAGGAACACAAGGACAAAUACUUGCUGGAAUUUUCAGAGAAGAACUCUAGGAGGAUGCAAAAAAAGAACCUGUGAUACGAAAAGAAGAAGAACCUAUGCACAAGAUGGAAGAACUGGCCCAAAGCAUUAAGAGUGC
rnacentral:lncRNA from 1 species